rnacentral:lncRNA from 1 species
GACGUAAUUUUUUUGUUUUUAUAAAAGAUUAAUACCAUGAACAUCUAGGGGAAAACCCAGGACUAGAGUCAGAAGAAAGAUAGCAACAUCAAAUUUUAGUUACCAUUGUAUUGAGGGAAUUGGGAUAGCUUGAAGUUAGUCCUUCAACUUUAAGAAAUCUGGGACUCAAAAUAAAGUAAUGAUACAUCUAUUCUAUCUAUUCCUUCCUCACUUGUUCUGGCUGACUCAAAAUCAGGACUCCUGAAAUUGGCAGCAUGAUGCAUCAUCAUCUUUAAAUUCAAAGUAUUCAAAAGUAUCUCACAGAACAUUAAAGCUGGAAGAAAACAGUAAUGGUCUGGAGUCAAGAAAUGAAGAGGGCAAGCAAUGUUUCUGGCAUCCCAACUACAGUUACAUCCAGUUUGAAGCUGCUGCAAUGGCAGCUCAAUGGAGUGGCUAGGAACACCAACUCCAGGAUCAGGGCCCGGGUGUGGGCACCCGAAGGAAUCUCCUGGUCUGAGGGAUGUGAAGACCAUGGGAAAAGCAUAGUGUCUGGGCAAGAAUGA